UCGAUGACUGGAGGAACACCAGGGCUCUUGUCUCGCAUCAAAUUGGAAAAAAACUACACGGACACAUGUGGAGUGGUUUUAAGGAGCUGAGCGUUUAAUAGGCAAGAAGGAACUGAGAAGCCAGAAAGAAGAAACUCCCUGCAAGCCUCUUGUAUCGGUUGGAACCCAGAGAGCCCGCCAGCAAACAACAUGAAGCGCAGGGCAAGGUACUUCUAUAGAAGGGUGCACCCUUACAAAUGGAGCAAUGAUGCCAUGCAAGAGUCUGGAGAUUCAAAGAUCAUGGGGAUCGAUUCCCUGCUUCUUUAGCAUUAACUGGGGGCAGCUAAUUCUACCUGAAAGGGUCAAAGAGGGCUUCAAAGAGGAGGUGACAUUUGAGGAUUGAUGGCCUUAUAAGAAGAAGAGAUCGCUCUCUCUCUGCAUGCACUCAGAGGAUAGGCCAUGUGAGGAUACAGUAAGAAGGACUGUCUUUAAACCAAAAAGGAGCCCUCACAAGACAUCAACCUGCUAAAACCUUGGACUUGGAUUCUCAGCUUUCAGAACGGGAAUCCAUUACAGAAGAUCCUGGACAUGUGAAAACCUCAUGAUAGAAAAACAAGGAAGUGGAUCAGUGCAAAUAACUUUGGAAGAGAAAUGUAAAUAGAAAUGUUCUCUCAGGAAUAAGUCCUGGCACAGGGCCUAUUUAACAUUCUUAUAUAUGGAAAAUAAGAGAUAUAAGCAAUGAAAUCAUUUGGUUUGCAGACAGCUCCAAUAUCUUUGCAAGAAGUGAAAUCUAAGUUGAUGGAGAUGAACUGUAAAAAGAGCUAGCAAGCUGUCCAAAACGGUUGAGCAGGGGAAUGUGCACUGCAAUGCUGGAACACACCACUGAUUGCAUUUAGAGAAAUGCAAUCUAGUUUAUUUACAGAAUGAUAGGAUCUGAACUGUUAGGGAGUAAAUUCAACAAAUACUUGCGAUUCUAUUUGGAAGAAGGCAUGUACUGGAUACUGCAGAUCAGAUGAAGAUGAUAGAGCAAUAGAACCUUAAAUACUCUGAGAAAUUGAAAGGGUGUAAUGAAGAAAGUAUUAUUUAAAAUGAAUCAUAAAUCAUGAGUGGGAUUUAGAUGGGUGAAUAUUUGUGAAGGAAGAACAGGAAAUCCCAGGUAGAUAAAAGAGCAUCCAGCAUGAAGGCAGGGGAACUUAGGGAGUUGUCCUGGAAUGACGAUGGUUUAGUGUGACUGAUAGGUAGGGGACAUGGAAGGGAGUGGAGAGUCUGAAAGUCUGUGACAGUGAAUCAGAGCUCUUGAUCUCUUAUCUUGGAAUCCUGCACUGGAUUGGCUGGGCAGUGGAGGGGGUGGGUUAGAUUUAAAGAUUUUUGAAUCUUUAAAUUCAAAGUUUUUGAACUUUGUUCAUUUACUUUGUUAGAUUUAAAGAUUAGUUAGAUUUAAAGUUAGAUUUAAAGAUUUUUGAGAUGAUAAUUUAGCAUGCUGAUUCUGGCAGCACAGUGUGGGAUAGGCAGGGGAACACAUAUGAAUCGGGUAGAAGGUCAUUAUAAUAGUCUAGAUAAGAAGAAAUGAGGUCUGAACCAGGUGGAGGUAGGAAAAGGAAAAAAGGAACCAGAGAGAUCCUGAAAGCACACUCUACAGCAGAAUUUCAUAAAGUGCAGUCCAGCACCAACCUGCAUGGGAAUCAUCUGGGGAGACUCCUGAGUACCACCUCAGACCUACUGAACUAGGAUCUCUGAGGAGCAAGACUGAGGAAUCUACAUUUUCAACAAGUCCCCUGGUAACUCUUAUGUAUACUCAGGCAUCACCAUUCUGUGGACUUGGCACCUGAUUCAGUGUAGUGAGCUAGCAAAAUCCUCUAUUGCUAAAGGAGUUCCUCCUGUUAGUAUGUCCCACUUGGUUAUUUCUUAUCAACAACAACUAUCCCUUCAUCUCUAAGGCAAAGAGAAUCCAAAAGAAUGGGAAUCCUUAGUUGAUAUUUGGAGGGAAAAAGAAGCAGAAGGAGAGAAUUAUGGGCUAGAUUGUGCUCCUCCUCCAAAUUCAUAUGUUGAAGUCCUAACCCCCUGUAUUUCAGAAUGUGACUUUAUUUGGAGAUGGAGUCUUUACAGGAAUAAUUAAAUCAAAAUGAGGUCACUAGAGUGGACCCUAAUCUGAUAUGAUUGCUGUCCUUGUAAGAAGAGGAAAUUUGGCUAUAGACACAGAAGGAAGAUGAUGGGAGGAGCAAAGGAGAAGAUACAAGCCAACGAGAGAGGCCUGGGAAGAAAGCAACCCUGCUGAUACUUCAAUCUUGGAAUCCAGAACGGAAAUUCAGAUUUGCCUAUUCUCACUGGAGUCCCUUGAACUCUAAUAUUGCCAUGGAGUGUGUCCUCUCUACCAGGACCAGAUCUCAGGCUUCAGGAAGGGAAGAAGACUCUGUAAAGGAAUCCUAAAGGACACCAGGAUGAGAACCUUCCAGAAGUUGGAAGGGACAUUGAAACUCACUAAGAGGGACCCAAGUCCUUUCAGAGGCUACUACACUGACAAAAUACAGAAGGACAAUGGAAGACCAGACCUGAAUCAACAGGCUCUGGCCCUUUUAAACCCAAGGAUAGUCUAUCUCAGUGGGUUGAGUUGGCCUGGCCCAACAUUGAGCCAUCUGGGGGAAAAUGGGCUACAUCUGUUUAGUUUCCAUUUGAUUCCUCCAUCUCUUCAUGAUGUGACCUCAGACCUCAGUCUUACUAAGCCUCUCUAGAUCCCAGUCUAUGAAGUUCAGAGCAUGUAUGUAUGUCUUGGAACCAUCUGUGUGAUCCUGGGAGAGUUACUAAACUUCCUGAACCUUAUGUUCUUCAUCGUUGUCUCCUAAGAUUGUUGUGAGAACUCAAAGAGUUUGUGUACCAAAAAUGCCUGGUAUACAGUAGGUGCUGGCUUAUUAGACAUUUGUUAAAUUGCCUUUCUUCUCUUAAUCUUCUGAAUUUUUAUCACGGUCCACAUUUUCCAAAUUCUCUCUCCUUACUCUUGCCUUUUCGAGACCCAAGGGAUCAAUCAGCUAGCUAAUCUGAUAAAAAUUAAUCCUAGGUAGGUAGGUAGGUAGGUAGGUAGGUAGGUAGGUAGGUAGACAGACUCUUUAAUAGUUUUGUGGUGGCCCUGCAUGCUGUGGUUCAGAUGAGUAGUAACUAGAAUUUCAGGCUGGCCUACUUUUGGAUGGGACUGGUCCCAUCUUCCCACUGGAGAUUUUGAGUGGAAAGCAUUUCUACACAAUUCUAGUGAAUAUCUUUGAAGAGUUCUUCUAAAUAGAUGGGUGAGCCAUACCUAGUGUCCCUUAUUUUUUAGCUGAGUUUAUAAAACUCCCCAGGCAGCACUACAUUGCCCUGAACAGAGAGUUAAUUCUGAUUCAGGGAACAGUGCCAGCUUCUUAAUGAAAUGCCAACAGCUCCUUUUCAGCCUCCUGGAACAAAGCUCAGCUCCUGCUGGCUGAAGAUAUUGCUGAAUAAUGGGGACAGGCAGCAGAAUCUGGAGACCAGGUGGCCUGUUAGGGAAUGGGCCACAAAGUCAAGAACAUAGUCAUAGAGGCCAGGUUGUCAUAAAUUAGAAUGGACAGAAUUAUCUGUGUGCUUACCUUACCCUGUCUAUUUGGGCUUACAGAGAGAGAGAGAGAAUUAAAUAGUGAUGGAAUUGUCCCCUGAUUUUGGACAUGUAUAGAAAACUUUCUCUAUCUCUUCCUCUUUCCACUCACAUAUCUACUGAGAGAAAAGCACUGUUGAUACUGACAUUGUAACAUAGCACCUGCCAUAUAUCAUGCCCCGUUCUCUUGACAGCCUCCUAGAGAUACCCUGGAAAUGAGGCAGAAAUUCUGCUAUGAUGGCAAUACUUAAUGAUAGUUAUUAUGACAAUAACCAGCAUUAACUGAACACUAACCAUGUACCUGGCAAUGUGCUAAGCUAAGAUAAUGUGCUUUACACACAUCCUUUCUUUUAAUCCUCACCACAGCUAUGAAAUAGGUACUAUAAUUAUCUUUGUUUUACGAAUGAAGAACUAGAGGAUCCAAGGGGGCAGAUGAUUUACCUAAGGCAACACAGCUGAAAAAGGAGCCAGGAUUUAUACUCAGGGGGCCUGCCUCCAGAGUGGCCAUGAUUAAACCGUGCAAUCUUUAUCAUUUGUGUGGUCCAUUAUAGUUUUGUACUUACUAUCUCAUUUGCUUCUCAGAAGGACCUGUGGAGAUAAACCCAGGCUGCCCUGCUAAGCAGUACAAGACCACAAGCCCUUCUCCCCAAGUCUCUGGUAUCAGCAGCGUUCCUCUUCACAAAUGCCUUAGCCUAAAAUUUCUAUAAUUAGACACCAUUUGUUUAAAUCACAACACUUACUGCCUCCCAAAACUAUAACACAUACUGCAUCCAACCUGCCCUAUAUGAGUUAAUCAAGGGAUAUGUUCAUUGACCUGUGGAUGUAGCAUUAGAGCAAACAUGGAACAUGGCAUACUAUGUUAAUGAAUAUGCUGGUUUCUAGCAAAGGCAAAUUCCAGAGUAAAAACCUUAUUAAUUCAAACCACAGUGGGCCAUAAUACAUGACUUUUUAACUAUCCAAGUUUGGAUUACCCAACAUUUUCUUGCAAACACCAUACCUCUAGUCAGCUAAGAGAGAUAUUGCUCUGAAUCUUCCAUAAUUGUGACUUUGUCAUUAUGAAACAAAACAAAAACAAAACAAAACAGGUAAACCCCAAGCCAAAACUCAACAGGACAGUCUUUAGAAGAAGGCCAAACUGCUAGGAAUAUUUUCUUCUGAGUAUAGGAGAUAAUUUGUAAAUGGAACUGGACAUGUGUAUUUUCCCGGCUCUGUGCAGUUUUCCUUCACCUUCUUCCACCAGUCACUUGGUGCUAGCUGGCAGGAAGUCCAUUCUCUUCUGACUAUGACCCAGACCAUAGCCUAUAAGAAGCAGGAUCUUGGGCAGCUCUGGGAGGCUGUGGCCCAGGGGAAGGAGGCAGCACAAAGUCCCUGUCAUAGUUCCCACAGUCUACAGGUCAGAAUUCAUCUAAUCCUUGUACCUUCUCUUAUUGGUGCUCCGCGGACAAGUGAAAGCCGAUCCUGAGAGCUGCUCAGCAUAGAGAUUGUAGGGGCAGACCUGAGGAUUAUUCUGAAAUAAAGGAUGCAAUAAACAAUAUUACUCCCAUCUGAAAAGCAUCCCACCUUCCCACCAACCAACUCAGUAUGGGGAUGGGGAUGCUCUGAGCCACUGCACAAGACCAUGUCCAACCCAAUAUGUUUCUUGUAACAACUUUUGAUGUGACUUGCCCCUCUGAUUAUAAAAGUAAUAUAUACUUAUUGUAGAAAAUGUAUAAACUAUAUGAUAUCACCCAUUAUCUCACAACCAGAAAUAACCGAGUGUUAACAUGUUGGUAUUUUUCCUUGCAUUCUUCUCUUCCAAAAUUGUGAC